UACAGAGGGGGCAAGCGUUGUUCGGAAUUACUGGGCGUAAAGGGCGCGUAGGCGGCCUUCUAAGUCGAACGUGAAAUCCCCGGGCUCAACCCGGGAACUGCGUCCGAGACUGAAAGGCUUGAAUCCGGGAGAGGGAUGUGGAAUUCCAGGUGUAGCGGUGAAAUGCGUAGAUAUCUGGAGGAACAUCGGUGGCGAAGGCGGCAUCCUGGACCGGUAUUGACGCUGAGGCGCGAAAGCCAGGGGAGCGAACGGG
rnacentral:rRNA from 1 species